AGCAGUAGCCGCGGUAAUACGUAGGUGGCGAGCGUUGUCCGGAAUCAUUGGGCGUAAAGGGAGCGCAGGCGGGCAUGUAAGUCUUUCUUAAAAGUUCGGGGCUCAACCCCGUGAUGGGAAAGAAACUACAUGUCUUGAGUACAGGAGAGGAAAGUGGAAUUCCUAGUGUAGCGGUGAAAUGCGUAGAUAUUGGGAGGAACACCAGUGGCGAAGGCGACUCUCUGGUCUGUAACUGACGCUGAGGAGCGAAAGCGUGGGGAGCGAACAGGAUUAGAUACCCCCGUAGUCCCUGUCUCUUAUACA
rnacentral:rRNA from 1 species